ACGCUUUUUGUGGCCAGUCCGGUCAACAGCAGUGUACAGAGGAUUUGAAGGUAUUUAUCAUCUUCAAGUGACAAGGUAUGGAUGUGAUAUACAGGCUUUAAGAUGGUACUCCUGCUUUUAUGGAGAUUAUGAAGACUGUUAGUGUCCUUGUUAGUUGAUCAAGUUAUGUUACCUCACACAAGCGCUCCUUCUGACGACAUCUUGACAAAUUCUUAGGUUUUCAUAUUUUUUAUGGUGUUAAUUAUCAUAGAACACCAGUUGCACCGAAACAAUAAAAUAGGAAUUCUUUACAUUUUCAAGAAUAAAUUUUUGCAAUGCAGUUUAGCAUAUAUGGUUCACAAAGAAUGGUUC